rnacentral:rRNA from 1 species
AUUGAACGCUGGCGGCAGGCCUAACACAUGCAAGUCGAACGGUAACAGGAAGAAGCUUGCUUCUUUGCUGACGAGUGGCGGACGGGUGAGUAAUGUCUGGGAAACUGCCUGAUGGAGGGGGAUAACUACUGGAAACGGUAGCUAAUACCUCAUAACGUCGAAAGACCAAAGAGGGGGACCUUCGGGCCCCUUGCCAUCAUAUCUGCCCAGAUGGGAUUAGCUAGUAGGUGGGGUAACGGCUCACCUAGGCGACGACCCCUAGCUGGUCUGAGAGGAUGACCAGCAACACUGGAACUGAGACACGGUCCAGACUCCUACGGGAGGCAGCAGUGGGGAAUAUUGCACAAUGGGCGCAAGCCUGAUGCAGCCAUGCCGCGUGUAUGAAGAAGGCCUUCGGGUUGUAAAGUACUUUCAGCGGGGAGGAAGGGAGUAAAGUUAAUACCUUUGCUCAUUGACGUUACCCGCAGAAGAAGCACCGGCUAACUCCGUG